rnacentral:rRNA from 1 species
CUUAGGAUCGUAAAGCUCUUUCGCCUGGGAAGAUAAUGACGGUAGCAGGUAAAGAAACCCCGGCUAACUCCGUGCCAGCAGCCGCGGUAAUACGGAGGGGGUUAGCGUUGUUCGGAAUUACUGGGCGUAAAGCGCGCGUAGGCGGAUAUUUAAGUCAGGGGUGAAAUCCCGGGGCUCAACCCCGGAACUGCCCUUGAUACUGGGUGUCUUGAGUUCGAGAGAGGUGAGUGGAAUUCCGAGUGUAGAGGUGAAAUUCGUAGAUAUUCGGAGGAACACCAGUGGCGAAGGCGGCUCACUGGCUCGAUACUGACGCUGAGGUGCGAAAGUGUGGGGAGCAAACAGGAUUAGAUACCCUGGUAGUCCACACCGUAAACGAUGAAUGCCAGUCGUCGGGUAGCAUGCUAUUCGGUGACACACUUAACGGAUUAAGCAUUCCGCCUGGGGAGUACGGUCGCAAGAUUAAAACUCAAA